UGAUGUCAUCACUGCAGCUUGUAUGGUGAUCCUCUGUGUUCACAGGUCCAGCUGAUGUCAUCACUGCAGCUUGUAUGGUGAUCCUCUGUGUUCACAGGUCCAGCUGAUGUCAUCACUGCAGCUUGUAUGGUGAUCCUCUGUGUUCACAGGUCCAGCUGAUGUCAUCACUGCAGCUUGUAUGGUGAUCCUCUGUGUUCACAGGUCCAGCUGAUGUCAUCACUGCAGCUUGUAUGGUGAUCCUCUGUGUUCACAGGUCCAGCU